CAGAGGCGGCAAGCGUUGUUCGGAUUUAUUGGGUGUAAAGGGCAGGUAGGUGGUCUCGCAAGUCCGCUGUGAAAUCCCAGGGCUCAACCCUGGAACUGCAGUAGAAACUGCAAGACUUGAGUAUCGGAGAGGUGAGGGGAAUUCUCGGUGUAAGGGUGAAAUCUGUAGAUAUCGAGAGGAAUACCAGUGGCGAAGGCGCCUCACUGGCCGAUAACUGACACUGAGCUGCGAAAGCAAGGGGAGCAAACAGGAUUAGAUACCCUGGUAGUCCUUGCCGUAAACGAUGUGGAUUAGGUGUUGGGAGUGUCGAUCCUCUCAGCGCCGCCGUUAACACAUUAAAUCCACCACCUGGGGAGUACGGUCGCAAGACUG
rnacentral:rRNA from 1 species